rnacentral:rRNA from 1 species
GACGAACGCUGGCGGCGUGCCUAACACAUGCAAGUCGAACGGAGAAAUUCAGCAAUGGAUUUCUUAGUGGCGAACGGGUGAGUAACGCGUAGAUAACCUGCCUCUAAGAUGGGGACACCAACUCGAAAGGGUUGCUAAUACCGAAUGUGAACAGAACCUCGCAUGGAGAACUGUUUGAAGGUGGCCUCUGAAUAUGCUACCGCUUAGAGAUGGGUCUGCGUCUGAUUAGCUAGUUGGAGGGGUAAUGGCCCACCAAGGCGACGAUCAGUAGCCGGUCUGAGAGGAUGAACGGCCACACUGGGACUGAGACACGGCCCAGACUCCUACGGGAGGCAGCAGUGGGGAAUCUUCCGCAAUGGACGAAAGUCUGACGGAGCAACGCCGCGUGAGUGAAGAAGGCCUUCGGGUCGUAAAGCUCUGUCUUCAGGGACGAAUGUGCAGGAUGUGAAUAAUGUCUUGUAAUGACGGUACCUGAGGAGGAAGCCACGGCUAACUACGUGCCAGCCGCCGCUGUAAUAC